rnacentral:rRNA from 1 species
GAUGAACGCUGGCGGCGUGCCUAAUACAUGCAAGUCGAACUUGAUUUUCGGAUUGAGUGGCGAACGGGUGAGUAAGACAUAGGUAACCUGGCUUAUAGAGGGGGAUAACCACUGGAAACGGUGGAUAAUACCGCAUGAAUAUAUCGAAGGCAUCUUGGAUAUAUAAAAGGAGCUAAGGCUUCGCUAUAAGAUGGGCUUAUGACGCAUUAGAUAGUUGGUGAGGUAACGGCUCACCAAGUCAACGAUCGGUAGCCGGACUGAGAGGUUGAACGGCCACAUUGGGACUGAGACACGGCCCAGACUCCUACGGGGGGCAGAAGUGGGGGAUAUUGCACAAUGGGGGAAACCCUGAUGCAGCGACGCCGCGUGAGGGAAGAAGGUUUUCGGAUUGUAAACCUCUGUCUUUGGGGAAGAGUAGAAGACGGUACCCAAGGAGGAAGCCACGGCUAACUACGUGCCAGCAGCCGCCGUAAGAC